rnacentral:rRNA from 1 species
GUCCAGACUCCUACGGGAGGCAGCAGUGAGGGAUAUUGGGCAAUGGGGGAAACCCUGACCCAGCGACGCCGCGUGAGGGAAGACGGUCUUCGGAUUGUAAACCUCUUUCUUUGGGGACGAAAAAGGACGGUACCCAAGGAGGAAGCUCCGGCUAACUACGUGCCAGCAGCCGCGGUAAUACGUAGGGGGCAAGCGUUAUCCGGAUUCACUGGGUGUAAAGGGAGCGUAGACGGCGACGCAAGUCUGGAGUGAAAGCCCGGGGCCCAACCCCGGGACUGCUCUGGAAACUGCGUCGCUGGAGUACGGGAGGGGCAGGCGGAAUUCCUGGUGUAGCGGUGAAAUGCGUAGAUAUCAGGAGGAACACCGGCGGCGAAGGCGGCCUGCUGGACCGUGACUGACGUUGAGGCUCGAGAGCGUGGGGAGCAAACAGGAUUAGAUACCCCCGUAC